GGGUGGUAAUGCCGGAUGCUCCAGUUGACCGCAUGGUCCUCUGGGAAAGCUUUUGCGGUAUGGGAUGGGGUCGCGUCCUAUCAGCUUGAUGGCGGGGUAACGGCCCACCAUGGCUUCGACGGGUAGCCGGCCUGAGAGGGCGACCGGCCACAUUGGGACUGAGAUACGGCCCAGACUCCUACGGGAGGCAGCAGUGGGGAAUAUUGCACAAUGGGCGCAAGCCUGAUGCAGCGACGCCGCGUGCGGGAUGACGGCCUUCGGGUUGUAAACCGCUUUUGACUGGGAGCAAGCCCUUCGGGGUGAGUGUACCUUUCGAAUAAGCACCGGCUAACUACGUGCCAGCAGCCGCGGUAAUACGUAGGGUGCAAGCGUUAUCCGGAAUUAUUGGGCGUAAAGGGCUCGUAGGCGGUUCGUCGCGUCCGGUGUGAAAGUCCAUCGCUUAACGGUGGAUCCGCGCCGGGUACGGGCGGGCUUGAGUGCGGUAGGGGAGACUGGAAUUCCCGGUGUAACGGUGGAAUGUGUAGAUAUCGGGAAGAACACCA
rnacentral:rRNA from 1 species